UAAAACAAGUUCGGAGAGGUCCGAAAGUCACUGUCACUGUCCCUAUCUACUAUCUAGCGAAACCACAGCCAAGGGAACGGGCUUGGAAUAAUUAGCGGGGAAAGAAGACCCUUUUGAGCUUGACUCUAAUCUGGCAGUGUAAGGAGACAUAAGAGGUGUAGAAUAAGUGGGAGAUAUUAGACCUCGGUUUGGUAUCGUCAAUGAAAUACCACUACUCUUAUUGUUUCCUUACUUACUUGAUUAAAUGGAACGUGUAUCAUUUCCUAGCCAUUAUACGGAUAUAUUUAUUAUAUCUUAUGGUAUUGGGUUUUGAUGCAAGCUUCUUGAUCAAAGUAUCACGAGUUUGUUAUAUAAUCGCAAACAAAUUCUUUAAUAAAACGAUGCAUUUAUGUAUUUUUGAUUUGAAAAUUUGGUAUAACUCCAAUUACUCAGGUAUGAUCCAAUUCAAGGACAUUGCCAGGUAGGGAGUUUGACUGGGGCGGUACAUCUCUCAAAUAAUAACGGAGGUGUCCCAAGGCCAGCUCAGUGCGGACAGAAACCACACAUAGAGCAAAAGGGCAAAUGCUGACUUGAUCUCGGUGUUCAGUACACACAGGGACAGCAAAAGCUCGGCCUAUCGAUCCUUUUGGUUUAAAGAGUUUUUAACAAGAGGUGUCAGAAAAGUUACCAUAGGGAUAACUGGCUUGUGGCGGCCAAGCGUUCAUAGCGACGUCGCUUUUUGAUCCUUCGAUGUCGGCUCUUCCUAUCAUUGUGAAGCAAAAUUCACCAAGCGUUGGAUUGUUCACCCAUGCAAGGGAACGUGAGCUGGGUUUAGACCGUCGUGAGACAGGUUAGUUUUACCCUACUAAUGACAAAACGUUGUUGCGACAGCAUUCCUGCGUAGUACGAGAGGAACCGCAGGUACGGACCAAUGGCACAAUACUUGUUCGAGCGAACAGUGGUAUGACGCUACGUCCGUUGGAUUAUGCCUGAACGCCUCUAAGGUCGUAUCCGUGCUGGACUGCAAUGAUAAAUAAGGGGCAAUUUGCAUUGUAUGGCUUCUAAACCAUUUAAAGUUUAUAAUUUAUUUUAUAAACGACAAUGGAUGUGAUGCCAAUGUAAUUUGUAACAUAGUAAAUUAGGAGGAUCUUCGAUCACCUGAUGCCGCGCUAGUUACAUAUAAAAGCAUUAUUUAAUACAAUGACAAAGCCUAGAAUCAAUUGUAAACGACUUUUGUAACAGGCAAGGUGUUGUAAGUGGUUGAGCAGCUGCCAUACUGCGAUCCACUGAAGCUUAUCCUUUGCUUGAUGAUUC
rnacentral:ncRNA from 1 species